GCCCGCACUGGCGGGGGCCGUCGCCGGGGCCCCGCUCCGGCCGGCGCCCGACGCGGGCUCCGGUCCCGCUGCCGCCG
rnacentral:tRNA from 1 species